GAUGAAGAACGUAGCGAAAUGCGAUAAGUAAUGCGAAUUGCAGAAUUCAGUGAAUCAUCGAAUCUUUGAACGCACAUUGCGCCCGCUAGUAUUCUGGCGGGCAUGCCUGUCUGAGCGUCAUUUCAACCCUCGCCCCCGGCUUUUGCUGGGAGCGGUGUUGGGGAUCGGCCGCCCGUCACUGGGAGGCCGGCCCCGAAAUAGAGUGGCGACCACGCCGUGUGCUCCUCAGCGUAGUAGUAAAUCACCUCGCAGGCGGACAGCGGUGCGGCCUGCCGUAAAACCCCCAACUCUUUCUGGUUGACCUCAGAUCAGGUAGGAAUACCCGCUGAACUUAAGCAUAUCAAUAAGCGGAGGA
rnacentral:misc_RNA from 1 species